AUUGAACGCUGGCGGCAGGCCUAACACAUGCAAGUCGAACGAGUGGCGGACGGGUGAGUAAUGUCUGGGAAACUGCCUGCUGGAGGGGGAUAACUACUGGAACCGGUAGCUAAUACCGCAUACCAUAAGAUGUGCCCAGAUGGGAUUAGCUGUGUGGUGGGGUAACAGCUGACCAAGGCGACGAUACCUAGCUGAUCUGAGAGGUUGACCAGCCACACUGGAACUGAGACACGGUCCAAACUCCUACGGGAGGCAGCAGUGGGGAAUAUUGCACAAUGGGCGAAAGCCUUAUGCAGCCAGGCCGCGUGUAUGAAGAAGGCCUUCGGGUUGUAAAGUACUGUCAUCGGGGAGGCGUUACCCGCAGAAGAAGCACCGGCUAACUCCGUGCCAGCAGCCGCGGUAAUUC
rnacentral:rRNA from 1 species